rnacentral:rRNA from 1 species
AGACAGAUGUGAAAUCCCCGGGCUUAACCUGGGAACUGCGUUUGUGACGGCAAGGCUAGAGUACGGCAGAGGGGGUUGGAAUUCCUGGUGUAGCAGUGAAAUGCGUAGAGAUCAGGAGGAACACCGAUGGCGAAGGCAGCCCCCUGGGCCUGUACUGACGCUCAUGCACGAAAGCGUGGGGAGCAAACAGGAUGAGAUACCCUGGUAGUCCACGCCCUAAACGAUGUCGACUAGUCGUUCGGAGCAGCAAUGCACUGAGGGACGCAGCUAACGCGUGAAGUCGACCGCCUGGGGAGUACGCCUGCAAGGUUAAAACUCAAAGGAAUUGACGGGGCCCCGCACAAGCGGUGGAUGAUGUGGAUUCAUUCGAUGCAACGCGAAAAACCUUACCUACCCUUGACAUGUCUGGAACCUUGCUGAGAGGCGAGGGUGCCUUCGGGAGCCAGAACACAGGUGCUGCAUGGCUGUCGCCAGCUCGUGUCGUGAGAUGUUGGGUUAAGUCCCGCAA